rnacentral:rRNA from 1 species
AGGAAGGUGGGUAUGUUAAUAGCAUAUUCAUUUGACGUUAGCUGCAGAAGAAGCACCGGCUAACUCCGUGCCAGCAGCCGCGGUAAUACGGAGGGUGCGAGCGUUAAUCGGAAUUACUGGGCGUAAAGCGCAUGCAGGUGGUUUGUUAAGUCAGAUGUGAAAGCCCGGGGCUCAACCUCGGAAUUGCAUUUGAAACUGGCAAACUAGAGUACUGUAGAGGGGGUAGAAUUUCAGGUGUAGCGGUGAAAUGCGUAGAGAUCUGAAGGAAUACCGGUGGCGAAGGCGGCCCCCUGGACAGAUACUGACACUCAGAUGCGAAAGCGUGGGGAGCAAACAGGAUUAGAUACCCUGGUAG